ensembl:lncRNA
GUUCCUGUUGCCCUGCAGGGAUCCUGAAACGCUCCAGGGCACCCCACUUGGACACAGCUCCUGGUAAGUGCCACAAAAGGACACCCUGUGGGCACUGGCCGCUGGGCAGGGUCCCUGCAGCAGACGAUCACCCCCCUCCCUGGACCACAGGAGGCUGACGACCUGAGGCUGGGGAGACGGGGAAGCACCUCCCCUGGCUGGCUAGAGAGGCCGCUGAGCUGGAAAAUGGACCUGGAGGGAGAACACACCCUGCCAGUGUCCUGGAAGAAGGCUGACCCCAGUGGAGACAAGUCAGGUCACUGGAGUCCAGGCUGGCUUGCUGUAAACACAUCAUGUCAAGAGCUUAUCCUGCCGACAAUGACUUGCCAACAGUGCUUACCUCUGCGUCUGCGGCAAGCCCGGAGGCUGAUGUCAUAGAAGCCACAUGGCAGGAAUUGUCUGGGCUUAUCUGACCGACAGACUCACCUACAAAACCCAGUGCGUCUCCUCAGAGCACUGAGACAAGGGCCUUUGUAAUGAUAAAUGCUGAGGUGUUAAUAUUUCUACUUGCCUGUUUUCCUCUAGAUCACAGUCGAGUUGAAAGGAAUGAAACCGAAGUAGUUGUCAGAUUAAAUGCUUUUGCUUUACAGCAGCAGUAAGAUAUUCAGGUUUGGGUUUGGGUUUGAACUUAGUGCCAAAUUUUAAAAAUGUGAC